rnacentral:tRNA from 1 species
UCCCGGGUGAUGCAACGGUAGCAUGCCUGACUCUGACUCAGGUCAUCGGAGUUCGAAUCUCUGCCCGGGAG